GUGYCAAAAAGUCUCCUAUCAUCUCAUCUGAAAAAUAUCAAACGAMUUACUUUUCURUUUCAACAUAUGUUUUUAGCGCAUGUUAGCAUGAUUUGUGGACUUGGUGACCCUUAGGAGUUCUUUGUUCCAACGAAUAAAAAAAUACAGCAAACCAUCCGGGUACAUUAGGAUCAGCUUCCUGGUAGAGCAAUUUUGAGUUAAUGGAUGCUUUAGUUGAAAACCCUGUGCCCGAGGGAAAUAUAGGAAGGUCGCAGACCUUUUAAAUUUUCUAUGGAUUGUAUAUUAUUUGUAAUAUAUGUAUUUUGAUUA